GACGAACGCUGGCGGCGUGCUUAACACAUGCAAGUCGAGCGGAAAGGCCCUUCGGGGUACUCGAGCGGCGAACGGGUGAGUAACACGUGAGUAACCUGCCCCAGACUUUGGGAUAACCCUCGGAAACGGGGGCUAAUACCGGAUACGACACAGCUUCGCAUGGGGUCUGUGUGGAAAGUUUUUCGGUUUGGGAUGGGCUCGCGGCCUAUCAGCUUGUCGGUGGGGUGAUGGCCUACCAAGGCGACGACGGGUAGCCGGCCUGAGAGGGCGACCGGCCACACUGGGACUGAGACACGGCCCAGACUCCUACGGGAGGCAGCAGUGGGGAAUAUUGCACAAUGGGCGGAAGCCUGAUGCAGCGACGCCGCGUGAGGGAUGACGGCCUUCGGGUUGUAAACCUCUUUCAGCAGGGACGAAGCGUAAGUGACGGUACCUGCAGAAGAAGCGCCGGCCAACUACGUG
rnacentral:rRNA from 1 species